CAACAUUGGUUCCCAUAUGAUCACUGAAGUUAAGCAACAUCAAGCCUGGUCAUUACCUAGAUGGGUGACCGCUUGGAAAUGCAGGUGCUGUAA